ACGCUCCCUUCAUUAGCACAUAUGCUAAAAUUGGAACGAUAGAGAAGAUUAGCAUGGCCCCUGCGCAGCAAUUAUGACAUGUAAAUCCUCAAAGCAUUCCAUGUAAAC
rnacentral:snRNA from 1 species